rnacentral:rRNA from 1 species
GACGAACGCUGGCGGCGUGCUUAACACAUGCAAGUCGAACGGAAAGGCCUCUUUCGGGGGGUACUCGAGUGGCGAACGGGUGAGUAACACGUGAGUAACCUGCCCUUGACUUUGGGAUAACUUCAGGAAACUGGGGCUAAUACCGGAUAGGAGCUCCUGCUGCAUGGUGGGGGUUGGAAAGUUUCGGCGGUUGGGGAUGGACUCGCGGCUUAUCAGCUUGUUGGUGGGGUAGCGGCUUACCAAGGCUUUGACGGGUAGCCGGCCUGAGAGGGUGACCGGCCACAUUGGGACUGAGAUACGGCCCAGACUCCUACGGGAGGCAGCAGUGGGGAAUAUUGCACAAUGGGUGGAAGCCUGAUGCAGCAACGCCGUGUGCGGGAUGACGGCCUUCGGGUUGUAAACCGCUUUCGCUCAUGACGAAGCUUUGUGUGACGGUAGUGGGUAAAGAAGCACCGGCUAACUACGUG